GUGCUCGCUUUGGCAGCACAUAUACUAAAAUUGGAACGAUACAGAGAAGAUUAGCAUGGCCCCCGUUCAAGGAUGACAUGCAAAUUCGUGAAGCAUUCCAUAUUUUU
ensembl:snRNA U6 U6 spliceosomal RNA